GCUGAGAAAAGAGCGAGCCAGAGAGAAAGCAGAGAGAGCCCGAGCAUCCUUAUCCCCCAGCAGAAGGAGGAAGGAAGGAAGAGGAGUCGGAGAGUCGACGCCCUGCUUCGACUGAACGAGCAGCUCCACGCGCUCAUCCCUCAUCCUUCCAUCCCUGCUGAGCAGCACACAGAAGGAUACAACCCAGCAGCUCUCGCAGCGCUCCGCCUGAGAUUCGCUUUCGAAGAUAGCAGCUGAGUUUUGGGCAGAAUGAUUGGGAAGAUCAACUGAUGAAGACCUGCCGCUACACCUGUAACAGGACUUUUUCUACAUGUGUGGAGGAAGUUGAGAGGCAGAAGUUGGGGGCUGCUGUAUCUGCCUGGAGCUGUGAUUGAGGUUUUCCUGCAUGGUGGCUGCGGGUGUUUGGUGACACCAUGGGAUGCACCACCAGUGUGGUUCUGCUGGAGGGGCUGCGCUCCAUCCUAGAGAGGAACUGUGGCUACAUCAAGGGGGCGGUGGAGCUGGGAGCUGUAGACGAGGAGGAGGAAACACAGAGUCUGAGGGGAUCUCAACUCUGGAUUCCCACCACUGCUCUGGUAAAACCAAAGAUCAUAGAGCCUCUGGACUAUGAGAAUGUGAUCCUACAAAGGAAGACCCAGAUCAUCAGUGAUGUUCUACGAGACAUGCUGCAGUUUCCCACAGACGACUUCCAGAUCUCCACCCUGCAGCGCCAGGGCCGGACUCUGUUCUCCACUGUGCCAGAGACUGCUGAGAAAGAAGCUCAUUCUCUCUUUGUCCAAGAGUGUAUCAAAACCUACAAGUCUGACUGGCAUGUCGUCAACUACAAGUAUGAGGAGUAUUCUGGAGACUUCCGCCAGCUCCCCAAUAAGGUGUUGAGACCUGAGAAACUGGCACCUCACCUGUUUGAGGUGGAUGAAGAUGUGGAAAAAGAUGAGGACACAGCUUCUCUCGGCUCGCAGAAGGGAGGAGUGUCUAAACACGGCUGGCUGUACAAAGGCAACAUGAACAGUGCAAUUAGCGUUACUAUGCGGUCCUUCAAGAGGAGGUACUUCCAUCUUGCUCAGCUGGGCGAUGGAUCCUACAACCUCAACUUCUACAAAGACGAGAACACCUCCAAGGAGCCCAAAGGAACCAUUUUUCUUGACUCAUGCAUGGGAGUUGUCCAGAACAGCAAAGUGCGUCGGUUUGCCUUUGAGCUGAAGAUGCAGGAUAAGAGCACGUUCUUGCUGGCUGCAGACAGCGAAGCAGAGAUGGACGAGUGGAUCAGCACCUUAAACAAGAUUCUCCACAGCAGCUUUGAGCAUGCCAUGCAGGAGAAAAGGAACGGAGACCUUCACGAUGACGAGGAGCAUCUAAAAACAGACCUUUCCUCUGGAAGUUUUCAAGACACCUUUCAGACUGCCAGAGAUAUCGAAUCCAAAAUGAGAAGUGAAGCUCGCCUCAAGCUGUUUACUCUGGACCCAGACACACAGAAACUGGACUUUUCUGGCAUUGAACCAGAUGUGCGGCAGUUUGAAGAGAAAUUUGGAAAGAGAGUCCUGGUCAGCUGCAACGACCUGUCGUUCAACCUGCAGGGCUGUGUUGCAGAGAAUGAAGAGGGACCAACAACCAAUGUGGAGCCUUUCUAUGUCGUCCUGUCCCUGUUUGACAUCCAGAACAGUAGAAAGAUCUCCGCCGACUUCCAUGUGGAUCUUAAUCACCCUUUGGUCCGACAAAUGACAUCUGGUUAUGGUAGCGGACCAAACAUGCAAAUUAGUGGCGGCAGCAGUGAUGGUCCCCACAGGCUGGCCAGUGAACUGCCAGAGGGGGCCCUCCAGUACCCCAGACAGGGGGUGUUCUCAGUCACUUGCCCCCAUCCAGAGAUCUUCCUGGUUGCCAGAAUUGAGAAGGUCCUACAGGGAGGGAUCACCCACUGUACUGAACCCUACAUGAAGAGUUCAGACUCUGCUAAGAUUUGUCAAAAGGUGCUGAAGAAUGCCAAGACAGCUUGCAGCAGACUGGGGCAGUACAGGAUGCCAUUUGCCUGGGCUGCAAGGCCUGUGUUUAAAGAUGCAUCAGGGACUUUGGACAAAAAUGCACGUUUCUCAGCUCUUUGCAGGCAGGACAGCAGCAAGCUGUCAGAUGAGGACAUGUUCAAACUGCUUACUGACUUCCGAAAACCAGAGAAAAUGGCCAAACUCCCUGUGCUCUUGGGGAACUUAGAUGUGACAAUUGAUAACGUGGCCCCGGAUGUAACCAAUUGUGUCACUUCGUCUUACAUCCCUGUGAAGAACUUUGAAAGAAAUGGACCAGGCAGUGCUCUGCUGGAGGUGGAGGAGUUUGUGCCUUGUAUUGCCAAGUGCUCCCAACCAUUCACCAUCUAUAAAAACCACCUCUAUGUCUACCCAAAACACCUCAAGUAUGACGGGCAGAAAUCUUUCGCUAAGGCGAGGAACAUUGCUGUUUGCAUUGAAUUCAAGGACUCUGAUGAGGAUGACGCCCAGCUGCUAAAGUGCAUCUACGGCCGCCCAGGAGGGCCUCUGUUCAUGAAGCAGGCGUUUGCAGCCGUCCUGCACCACCAGCAGAACCCUGAGUUCUAUGAUGAGAUAAAGAUAGAGCUGCCUACUCAGCUGCACGAGAAGCACCAUCUUCUCUUCACCUUCUACCAUGUUAGUUGUGACAGCAACAGCAAGAAGAAAGACCUGGUGGAGACUCCAGUGGGGUCAGCAUGGCUGCCUCUGCUGAAGGAUGGCAGGGUCAUCAUAAAUGAACAACAGCUGCCUGUGGCUGCCAAUCUACCUGCAGGGUACCUCGGCUCCCAGGAUGGUGUUAACAAGCACUCUGGUUUGGAGAUCAAAUGGGUAGAUGGAGGCAAACCUCUCUUCAAAGUCUCGACUCAUCUUUUUUCCACAGUUUACACUCAGGAUCAGCACUUGCACAACUUCUUCCACCACUGUCAAAACAUGGAGAUGUCAGAACAAGCUUCAGAGGGAGAGCUGGUCAAGUACCUGAAGAGUCUCCAUGCGAUGGAAGGCCAUGUGAUGGUCAAUUUUCUGCCUACCAUCCUCAACCAGCUGUUCUGUGUUCUUACCAGAGCAACACAUGAGGAUGUGGCUGUCAACGUGACCAGGGUGAUGGUUCAUGUAGUAGCACAGUGCCACGAAGAGGGACUUGAACAUUACCUGAGAUCAUAUGUCAAGUUUGUAUUGAAGCCUGAGCCUUAUUCCUGCACCAGUGUAAAAACCGUUCACGAAGAGCUGGCCAAAGCCAUGACAGCCAUACUCAAACCUUCCACUGAUUUCCUGACAAGCAACAAGCUGCUGAAGCAUUCAUGGUAUUUUUUUGAAGCUCUGGUGAAAUCAAUGGCUCAUUAUCUCAUGGAAAGCGGGAAGGUCAAGCUCUCCAGGAACCAACGUUUUUCUGCCUCCUUCUACCAUGCAGUGGAGACUCUGGUCAAUAUGCUGAUGCCUCACAUUACGCAGAAAUACAAGGACAACCUGGAUGCAGCUCGCAAUGCCAACCACAGCCUGGCAGUUUUCAUCAAGCGCUGCUUCACAUUUAUGGAUAGAGGCUUUGUAUUUAAACAAAUAAACAACUACAUGAACUGCUUUGUUCCUGGAGACCCCAAGACUCUGUAUGAAUUUAAGUUUGAAUUCCUGCGGGUAGUUUGCAACCAUGAGCACUAUGUGCCUCUAAAUCUGCCCAUGCCCUUUGGAAAAGGCAGAAUACAGAGGUUUCAAGAUCUCCAGCUGGACUACUCCCUGACUGAUGACUUCUGUCGAAACCACUUCCUGGUGGGCCUGCUGCUGAGGGAAGUGGGUGGGGCGCUUCAGGAGUACAGGGAGAUCCGUCAGAUCGCCAUCCAGGUGCUGAAGGGAUUGAUGAUCAAACACACAUUUGAUGACCGCUACGCUGCGAAGAGCCAACAAGCCAGACUUGCCACUCUCUACCUCCCUCUGUUUGGUUUGCUUCAGGAGAACGUUUAUAGACUUGACAUUAAGGAGUCAACUCAUCUCAACAACCACAGUAAUACGAGGGAGGACUCUUUGGUGCCGAACUCCAUGGUGACGCCUCUGAAACCUGGAAGCUGCAUAGAAAAUGCUCUCCACAAAGAUGUGUUUGGUGUCAUCUCUGGAACAGCCUCUCCUCAUAGCUCCACGCCCAACAUCAGCUCGGUUCACCACGCAGACUCCAGGGGCUCCUUGGUCUCCACCGACUCUGGAAACAGCCUGCUGGACAAGAGCAGCGACAAGACCAACUCCCUGGAGAAGAACCAGUGUGCGUCGGCUCUCGGCAGCACUGUGCUGCGCUGUGACAAACUGGACCGGGACGAGAUCAAAAACCUGCUGAUGUGUUUUCUACAUAUCCUUAAGAGCAUGUCAGAGGAGGCACUCUUUGCUUACUGGAACAAGGCAGCGCCCUCGGAGUUGAUGGACUUUUUUACGUUAAUAGAAGUCUGUCUUCAUCAGUUCAGAUACAUGGGGAAGAGAUUUAUCGCCAGGAGCCAGGAGGGGUCGGGGCCUGUAGCUCCAGACAGGAAGUCUCUGACUCUUCCCAUGUCUCGAAACAGGGCAGGGAUCCUGCACGCUCGCCUGCAACAGCUAGGAACUCUGGAGAAUGCUCACAUCUUCAACAACAUGUACUCUCAUAUGGAGGCAGACGUGAGCAGCCAGUGCCUGCUGGAGGCCAACGUGUCCACAGAGGUCUGUCUGACUGUGCUGGACACACUCAGCAUCUUCAUCAUGGGAUUCAAGACCCAGCUAAACUCGGAUCUGGGUCACAAUCCCCUGAUGAAGAAAGUUUUCCAGGUGCACUUGUGCUUCCUGCAGAUCCCUCAGUCUGAGACUGCCCUCAAGCAGGUCUUCACCUCACUCAGGACGUUCAUCUACAAGUUCCCUUGCACCUUCUUUGACGGCCGGGCCGACAUGUGUGCCUCUUUGUGCUAUGAAAUCCUCAAGUGUUGCAACUCCAAGCUCAGCUCCAUCCGCAGUGACGCCGCCCAUCUUCUCUACUUCCUCAUGAAGAGCAACUUUGACUACACAGGCCGCAAGUCUUUCGUACGAACACACCUGCAGGUGGUGAUUGCUGUCAGUCAGCUGAUUGCUGAUGUCAUUGGCAUCGGCGGUACCCGUUUUCAGCAGUCUCUCUCCAUCAUCAACAAUUGUGCCAACAGUGACAAAAACGUCAAGCACACAGCAUUUCCUUCAGAUGUGAAGGACCUGACGAAGCGCAUCAGGACAGUGCUGAUGGCCACAGAACAAAUGAAGGAGCACGAGAAUGACCCGGAGAUGCUGGUAGACCUCCAGUACAGCUUGGCCAAGUCCUACACCAGCACCCCCGAGCUCCGUAAGACCUGGCUGGACAGCAUGGCGCGCAUCCACAACAAGAACGGUGAUCUGUCAGAGGCAGCCAUGUGUUAUGUGCAUGUUGCUGCUCUGGUGGCUGAGUACCUGUGGAGAAAAGGUAUGUUCAGACAAGGCUGCUCCUCUUUCCGCGUCAUCACCCCAAACAUCGACGAGGAGGCGGCCAUGAUGGAGGACGUCGGGAUGCAGGACGUUCACUUCAAUGAGGAGGUGCUGAUGGAGCUGCUGGAGGAGUGUGGCGACGGUCUUUGGAAGGCCGAGCGUUAUGAGCUAAUAGCUGAUGUCUACAGGCUCAUCAUUCCCAUCUACGAACAGCGUAGAGACUUUGAGAAACUGACACACCUGUACGACACGCUCCACCGUGCUUAUACCAAAGUGAUGGAGGUGAUGCAUAGCGGCAAGAGACUGCUGGGCACAUACUUCAGAGUGGCCUUCUUUGGACAGGGCUUCUUUGAAGAUGAGGAUGGAAAGGAAUACAUCUACAAGGAGCCAAAGUUCACUCCGCUGUCGGAAAUUUCCCAGAGGCUCCUGAAGCUCUACUCGGAUAAAUUUGGCCAGGAGAACGUCAAGAUUAUUCAGGACUCCGGCAGGGUGAACCCGAAGGACCUGGACUUGAAGUAUGCUUACAUCCAGGUGACCCACGUCACACCUUACCUGGACGAUAAAGAGCUGGAGGACAGGAAAACCGACUUUGAGAAGAGCCACAACAUUCAGCGCUUUGUGUUUGAGACGCCAUUCACAGUAUCGGGCAAGAAGCAGGGAGGGGUGGAGGAGCAGUGUAAACGGAGGACUGUACUCACCACCACCCACUGUUUCCCCUAUGUAAAGAAGCGUAUUGUGGUCAUGUACCAACACCAGACAGACCUGAGCCCCAUAGAGGUGGCCAUAGACGAGAUGAGAGCCAAGGUGGCUGAGCUGCGACUGCUGUGUUCGGCCUCUGAGGUGGACAUGAUCCGUCUGCAGCUCAAACUGCAAGGCAGCAUCUGUGUUCAGGUAAACGCCGGUCCUCUUGCUUACGCCAGAGCCUUUCUAGAUGACAGCAGUGCCAAGAAAUACCCAGACAACAAGGUCAAACAGCUCAAAGAGGUGUUCAGGCAGUUUGUGGAUGCCUGUGGUCUGGCGCUGGGGGUGAACGAGCAGCUGAUCAAAGAAGACCAGCAAGAGUAUCACGAUGAGAUGAAGGCCAACUACAGGGACCUGACCAGGGAGCUGUCCAACAUCAUGCAUGAACAGAUUGGAUGGUAAUGCUGCUUUUGUCAUGUGAUAAAGUUCCUGUUGUUACAGCAAUAAAGAUGUAUGGGUGGUGGGUGGAGCAGGAGGGAAUCUUUUAUUAUAUAGAUUACGUUUACCACGGGUGUUUUGGUUCUGACUGUAAAGUUGGUCCACAAUUGUACGAAACAGCAUUUCAAAAAAGGUUUUCUGGUCUGAUGUGACUAAGCUGAUUUCCAGCAUACUUAAAAAACUGCAUUUAUUUGUUUUAUGUAGGAUUGUUUUACUCCAUAAUGCUUGUUAAAAUUAGCUUUCAGAUUCAGAAAACUUUUGUUUUUCCCCAGGCAGCAAAUAAAAAGGCAGUGCAACAAUAAUGUAAGAAAUUGAGUAGAAAACAAAGAAAUUAAAGAUAACUAACAUAAAUAAAAGAAAUGGGGAUAAAUACAGUAUAUAUAUACGAAUAUAGAACAAGUAAUAUAAUGAGAAUAAAAAUUAUAAUGAAAAGAAAGGAAAAAAACAGAACUUUAAGGCAUGCAAUAGCUAAAAAUGAGCAUGUAAAGCAAACAAAAUAAAAUGUGGACCCUCCUAGUUGAGGUUUGUUUUCUAUAACCACACAAUACUUUUAUUUACCCCUUAUCAAAGUGUCCUUGUGAAGCACUUUGAAUCACCUUGUUGUUGAAAUGUGCUUUAUAAAUAAACUAACUUUAACUUUUAACUUUAUCUGUUUAAAUCCCCCUCCCAUAAAAAUAUCUAUGUAGAAGCCUCGUAAUGAACACGUAUCAUUGAUAGUAAACCAGUUUUAUGAUCCUACAGUUACACUGCAGAUCGACAGAAUGGUCUUGGUAUACGUUAUUUUCGUGUUUGAAAAAUACACUUGCAUGAUCCCUGAUGCACAUGAAUGCCAUGGUUUUUUUUCUAUAAUUAGUUUAUCCACGAUAUUUUCACAAGUAAAACUGACAAAGUGUAAAUCCGGCAUAAGAAAAAGUCCUCGGUCCUCCCAAAAAUAUCGUCUCCCAUUGUAAAACCUUUCCUGCAGUGCCUAAAUUUAUUGUGCAUGUUUGUGUUUUAGUUUUACAGAGUAAAAUAUUUUUCCUAAUCUUCAUCAGGGUUUCUCCAGGGCAUUAAAAGCAUUAAUAGUCAUUAAAUUGAUUUAGUGAAAAUUAAGGCCUUAAAUGGCAUUAAAAAUCAUUAAAUUUGAUUCUCAGUGGCAUUAAAAAUUCUUUGUGCAGUUCAAGAAAAAUAUUUGAUAAUAAUAAUAUAAUUAUAUAUAAUUAUAGACUGCGAUUCGUCAGAUAUGUGCAUCUGCGUAAACAUGCCGAAGCAUUGCGAUAAUUGUUCCGGCCGGUCAUGUACCGGCAGGCUGGACCAGGUGGAGGAGAGCUGGGAAAUGCAAAUUCCAGCAAAAAUGGCUAGAAAACGUGGAAUUCAGAGAAUGACUGCAGCCCGUGGGUGGUCAGGGAUGGUUUCCGGAUUCAGAAAUAGUGAAAGAUUAACCCAGUGGAAGAUGGCACGAGGAACGCUCUGUCCGACUCUAUGGGCAUCUUCAACGCUAUCAGUGGCACCCCGACCAGUGCCAACCUCCACGGCUCCACCACCAUCCUCUGACAGGGAUGUUCCACACCAGACUAACGAUCGAUCAAACCACCUGAAGGAUCAGUUAGAACACCGACAUCCAUUGCUGUUUCCUGCUAUUUCUGGACAUGUCAUGAGUUGGAAAAUUGACAAACUGUUUUUGUUUCCUAUGGAGACUCCGAUCAAUACUGUUCACUUUCACACAUUUCAAAAGUUAGAGUAUCGACUUCUCGCCAGAUUUGGGUCAUUUGUCCUGAGUAGUUUGUUGUCUCACAUGUAAGCAGGUUGAAGCCCUCCUCAGCACACAUGCAUCCAAUACUGUGACACUAUAAUGUUCUUGUUCUAGACUCUAUAGCCCCAUCCAGAAGAAAACAAACUAAAGAAACUUCAACCUCAGUUUGUGUACAGUGUUUGUAAGAGAGCGCUUCAAGAUGGAUAAAUAAAUAAAUGCCACUGCUGUAACUGUACAUACAUCCUUGAGCUGAUGCACAGUAUUUUUGCAUUUCUUUUUUUUCUAUUCUUUUUCUAUUGUGGCCCAGUUACAGCAGCUGCAUUGUUCUAUUCAGCUCAGAGGCGUCAGAGUCUAUCUUUUAUCCUAACUUGGACUUUUGAGAGAAUUAUUUACUCUAUUUUAGGCCAAUGGACGUGUAUAGAACUGUCUAAAGCCAAGUGAAACACAAUGUUUUAACCUAUUUUCUGUAAAAAGAGAGAAGUGUGUGCAAUAUUUUCUAUUGUUACCUAGGCUACCUACUGCACAGACACCACUCUUGCCAAAGACAUUAGAAAACGACUGUGCAAUGCAAGACGAGGGUGCGACAAUUUGUAAUCAACCCCUUUGUUUCUUUAUCUGUCAUGGAGAUGCCUUUUAUUAUCUGUGAGAUGAAAUUUAAAAAAACAUUUUUACUCAAUGACUUCGUGUAAAUACGUUUAAGACUUACAAAUAAAUCUGUCAUAAUACCUUC